AUUGAACGCUGGCGGCAGGCCUAACACAUGCAAGUCGAGCGGAUGAAGGGAGCUUGCUCCUGGAUUCAGCGUCGGGCGGGUGAGUAAUGCCUAGGAAUCUGCCUGGUGGUGGGGGAUAACGUCCGGAGACGGGCGCUAAUACAGCAUACGCCCUGAGGGGGAAAGAGGGGGGUAUUCGGACCUCACGCUCUCUGAUGAUCCUAGGUCGGAUUAGCUAGUUGGUGGGGUAAAGGCCUACCAAGGCGACGAUCCGUAACUGGUCUGAGAGGAUGAUCAGUCACACUGGAACUGAGACACGGUCCAGACUCCUACGGGAGGCAGCAGUGGGGAAUUUUGGACAAUGGGCGAAAGCCUGAUCCAGCCAUGCCGCGUGUGUGAAGAAGGUCUUCGGAUUGUAAAGCACUUUAAGUUGGGAGGAAGGGCAGUAAGUUAAUACCUUGCUGUUUUGACGUUACCAACAGAAUAAGCACCGGCUAACUUCGUG
rnacentral:rRNA from 1 species